CCCUUAGAUGUUCUGGGCCGCACGCGCGCUACACUGACGAUGGCAACGAGUUUUUCCUUCGCCGAAAGGUGUGGGUAAUCUUUUGAAACAUCGUCGUGCUGGGGAUAGAUCAUUGCAAUUUUUGAUCUUGAACGAGGAAUUCCUAGUAAGCGCGAGUCAUCAGCUCGCAUUGAUUACGUCCCUGCCCUUUGUACACACCGCCCGUCGCUACUACCGAUUGAAUGGUUUAGUGAGGACUCCUGAUUGGCGCCGCCGCCCCGGCAACGGAGCAGCGGACUGCCGAAAAGUUGUUCAAACUUGAUCAUUUAGAGGAAGUAAAAGUCGUAACA
rnacentral:rRNA from 1 species